GUGUAGUCUUGUUCAUCUCAGGUAUUUAUCCUCCGAUGUCUUUGUGUUCGCCACUCUCUCUCUCUAAUAAAGAUCCAAGGUUUUCAGUAACCUUAGUUGUCUGUUUCAGUCUUUGCCGAGAACGUUUCACUUUGCCGUUCUACAUCGUCCGUCGGAUCCACAGUUAUAAACAGAAACAGAUACGAACUAGAUCUGAAAUAAAAUUUUGUCGCCAGUAUUUUUGCUGCUUCUCAAAAUUCUUCGCAGAAUUCGUACUCAUUCCUUUUGUUAUAGAAAACGAUACUAUAAUUUUGUUACGGACUCCUAAUUGUUAUGCAUGAAUUAGAAUAGAUUUUAUAUUGAAAUAAGUGUAACGUAC
rnacentral:lncRNA from 1 species